rnacentral:rRNA from 1 species
UGGUGGAGUGAUUUGUCUGGUUAAUUCCGUUAACGAACGAGACCUCAGCCUGCUAAAUAGUCACGCGAAUUCUGAAUUGGCGGCCGACUUCUUAGAGGGACUAUUGGUGUUUAACCAAUGGAAGUUUGAGGCAAUAACA